UACGUAGGUGGCAAGCGUUAUCCGGAAUUAUUGGGCGUAAAGCGCGCGCAGGUGGUUUCUUAAGUCUGAUGUGAAAGCCCACGGCUCAACCGUGGAGGGUCAUUGGAAACUGGGGAACUUGAGUGCAGAAGAGGAAAGUGGAAUUCCAAGUGUAGCGGUGAAAUGCGUAGAGAUUUGGAGGAACACCAGUGGCGAAGGCGACUUUCUGGUCUGUAACUGACACUGAGGCGCGAAAGCGUGGGGAGCGAACAGG
rnacentral:rRNA from 1 species